rnacentral:lncRNA from 1 species
CAAUCCUCCCCAAGUUCAUCCAUGUAUUUGAAAGGUACUAACCGGAAUGUAUGUGGCAGAGAUGCUGCUGUCCAUGUGAAGUUUCCAGAAGGCUGGAAUUGGACAAAGUGACCUGUACAGAUUUGUGUUUUGGAGAUUUCCCAUCCCCUUCUAUCACAGUCAACGCUUCAGAGGGAAGCAGCAACACCUCAUCACGGAAAAGCUACGUGGCCAUCAAAGGAUUAGUGCAAGCUCCUGCUCAGGGUUUGGGUUUUUCUGCCAUUAGGGAUUACCUCAUGAUUAGCAAGCUGGGAGGCACUGGUGAACAUGACUGUCUGGAAUUCCUUUAUAUAAUAAAAAUACUGCCACUAUUGUCAUCAGAAUAUUUUUGAGCAUUGAGUGUAUCUCCCUGUUGCAGCACUGGUUUAACUACAAUAUUUCUUGAAAAUAAUUUUGAUUGUGAUGUUUUAGAAAAUGAUCAGCUACCAGCUGCAAACACUAAAAGGCUGAGAACACAGAGAAGAAAUAUUUUGCACCAGAACAAGUUUAAUCCUAGGAACACCUGGCUUCUUGGAUAAAUGUAAGCUUAUUCAUACUUUGGUAGAAGUUCUGCAGUAAAGCUACAAUCCUACAAUCUUCUUGGUGAUGAGCUCAAACAAAGCAAGGGACUUGCUUGGAAAAGGAAAAAAAUGUGUGGUCAGAUAAUAGAUGCAAAAUGAAAGAAUCUGAGAGAUUGAAGGUACCAAAAAGUUGAGCCAGAAUUUUUGCAGACAGUUUUGCAGCACUCUGAACUAGCAGUGAUCUCAGAUGUUUAAUUUCAGUGGAGAAAUAGUAAAAAAGCACCAAAAAAUUACAAAACCCCUUCCUGAACUGCUGGGUUCAGGAGAUUCUGUGCAUUUAGAAAUCCAUGUUCUGAAAUGCUGCCUAAAAUUGCCUGGAUUUUUAUGCAUACUGGUACUACCUGCAAGUAUGAAAAAGUAUUGCCCUAGUCAUGAUACUGGGGCCUUAGAGCUAGCAUACAGUGGCACUAAGAGGUACAGCCCUGAUUUUCUCUUGUAAGUGGCCUAGGUUUGUGCCAAGAAACACAGGUUAAAAUGAUUCUCCUAACACUCUGAGUAGGAUUCAAGGACUUUGGAAAAAUGCAGCAGAGCCAGUCUCCAAAGAAGUACUCCUCAGACUUUUCUAAAGAGACAGACCAGGUGGCAGUGCUGUGGGGAUCCAUGCCAUUAGAGAUGAACAAGUAAUUCACUUUCAUACCUCUUGCUUUGGGGACCAGAGCCCAUGUCACCUGGCGGGGCAGUCCCAGAAGAGUCAUCUGCCUGCUGGCUGCAGCCCCUCAGAGACUACACAAUGCACCUGGCACAUGAAAUAUCUGUGGGGCCUCACAUUCCU